CGUCCUACGGGGGGCAGCAGUAGGGAAUCUUCCACAAUGGACGAAAGUCUGAUGGAGCAACGCCGCGUGAGUGAAGAAGGGUUUCGGUUCGUAAAGCUCUGUUGGUAGUGAAGAAAGAUAGAGGUAGUAACUGGCCUUUAUUUGACGGUAAUUACUUAGAAAGUCACGGCUAACUACGUGCCAGCAGCCGCGGUAAUACGUAGGUGGCAAGCGUUGUCCGGAUUUAUUGGGCGUAAAGCGAGUGCAGGCGGUUCACUAAGUCUGAUGUGAAAGCCUUUGGCGCAACCGGAGAAUUGCAUCAGAAA
rnacentral:rRNA from 1 species